UUAAAAUAAAAACUUACAAACACAUUUUUGUUAGAAAAAAAAAUUGCAUUGUUAUAUUUGUUGUUUAAGAAAUUCAAAAUCAAAACUUUUACAAAAGCCACUCUACUCUAAUCUGGUGUGAAAGUGUAACAUAAAAGGGGAUAUUGUAGGAUGGUCCAAAUAAACAGAAAGAACAAAUCUGAAAACUGGAUAAGGAAGAAGUGAGAGGAGAGCUAGACUGUUUUCUUUUUUCUUUUUCUUAAUCAUAUAAAUAUAAUAAUGCCAUAAUGGGUUAGCUACGCUAAUUAUGAGUAAAGCCGCGUUUGGUUGGACCACUUCCAUUCCAUUCCAUUAUUCAGUCAACUUAAUUUUUGUCUCACCCAAUUAUAUGUUACUCAUUUAAGAGAAAUGUAGAGACUUUUUAAGACCUCUUCCAAAUAUUUUUCUCAUUUUUUUGGGUGGGAGUGGGACCAGCUACUUAUUUCAGUGCCAUACAAAUGUAGGCAUCGUCAUAAAGAAGUAUGAAGUUUUGUGUAUCUGCAAUGGGUCACCAAAUCACAUUUAACGUGUUUGUCAGUAUAUUAUAAAUAUGUAUGUAUGGACUCGGACUAGGUUUUUUUAAUAUAUAUUUAUAUUAGAAAGGUAAUCAUAUAUUUUUACGAAUUAUACAAAUACAAUUAGUGUUUUCUCUCAAGCAAGUUUCUCUAAGAUUUAGGAGUGCUUAAGCUUUAGGAGCCUGUAACUCGCCGAGCAGUUGUUCCACUCAGGUUGGCCGACACACCUGAAUUUGAAAUCAAGGUAAGGGCAAAGCUAAAGUUGAGGAGCCGUGAGAGCGAGCAGGUGAAGAUUGUACAUGUUGGGGCGGUUAGGCCUGGAGCAUACGAUCCUCAAGACAUCAGGUAUUUUGCUGUUUAGUCGCUAGACGACAAAUAUUUUGUAUAUGAAUAGUAAACUUUUGUAACCCUAUUUUGUAAACGGGAUCCCAGCAUUUUAUAAAUGUAAUAUAUUAUGUAUUAAAUAAAUAAGCAAAAUUUUAAUUAUUCACGAUUUCCAAUAAUCUUGUUGAUUAGCAACGAGCUGCACAGUACGUUAAAAAAUCACGCUAACACGCCCAUAAUAGUUAGGGUGUUACAAUCAACUUUGAGAAAUGGCAUUUAAAAAAGAGAUGAAAGUGAGACUCAGGUUCAAGAUCACAAAUCGGACAAUUAGAGGACUCCACCUUCAAGAUUCUAGCAAUGAGAUCACGGGUGAGAAGGUGCUCGUUGAUAGCCUGCCACAAAAUCAAACGAUGCUUCGGGACAAUAAGCUUGUGCCACACAAUUUUGUGAUAACUCACAUUUUCAGCAGUUAUUAGAGAUAGGUAAAAUUAUUUUGCUUUGAACUAUCCCACAAAACUGGCAGCCAACAACUCUUCUUUGUCAAUGGUAUUCCUCAAUCUUACCAAUUUCUUGAAGUACCAACUGGUAUCUCCUCCGGGAUAGGUCUAGAAAUCAUGGUUCUUUAAAUACACACUAUUGAUCCAAUAAACUCAAAGGCAAUCCUGUUUGAGGAAAUUACACUCUAUACCCUUUUUAUAUUGUCCUCUUUUAUUUUUACCCUCUUUUUUAAAGUUUAUCAUUUUUACCUCUUUUUUUAAACAUUGUAUCAAUUUUGCCCCUGUCACUUCAAGAUACUCUCCAUGUGACUCUCUUAUGUCAGGGUACUUUGGGUACAAUACAUAUAAAAAGAGGUAUGUUUCAAUUAAAUAUAAAAUUAGAGGUAAAUUUGAUUAAUUGAUUAAUAAAAGUGGUAUUUCUCAACUUAUGCCAUCUUGUUUAGUGGAGAUAGCCCAUAUGUAUUUGGCCAUAAGAGCAAUAUUCUAUUUUUUCCCUUCCCUAAGACCAAUUCCUCCAUGAUUAAUUUUUCGGCAAGCAAACCUAGCUCCAAGAAGUGAAGUGCAACUUACUCUUAUUCUCAGACUUAUCCCAUAAGAAAUCACGACACAAUUUGUCAAUUUCAGUCGUAACUUCUUACGGAAGAAUAAAAAUGUUCAUCCAAUAAUUUCUAAUGCCCAAGAGAACAUAAUGGACUAGCAUAGCUCUUCCAGCAAAUGACAAGUGACAACUAGACCAACCAUGGAGCUUUUUUUUGUAUUUUGUCCACUAUUUCACCACAAUUUGAAAAAUAAAAAUGUUUAUCCAAUAAGUGUUUUUUUUACAUAACUAAAAUUAAUUAAUUUAAGGUAGCGUUUGGUUGGAUGUAAUAAAGCAAAAUGAAAUACAAAUGAUGCAAUUUUUAUUUUAUUUUUUUGUUUGGUUACAUUUUAAAGUAUUGAAAUGCUAUUCUAAUAAAAUGAUCUUUCUAUCAUUU